UGCCUAUACAUGCAAGUCGAACGAACUCUGGUAUUGAUUGGUGCUUGCAUCAUGAUUUACAUUUGAGUGAGUGGCGAACUGGUGAGUAACACGUGGGAAACCUGCCCAGAAGCGGGGGAUAACACCUGGAAACAGAUGCUAAUACCGCAUAACAACUUGGACCGCAUGGUCCGAGUUUGAAAGAUGGCUUCGGCUAUCACUUUUGGAUGGUCCCGCGGCGUAUUAGCUAGAUGGUGGGGUAACGGCUCACCAUGGCAAUGAUACGUAGCCGACCUGAGAGGGUAAUCGGCCACAUUGGGACUGAGACACGGCCCAAACUCCUACGGGAGGCAGCAGUAGGGAAUCUUCCACAAUGGACGAAAGUCUGAUGGAGCAACGCCGCGUGAGUGAAGAAGGGUUUCGGCUCGUAAAACUCUGUUGUUAAAGAAGAACAUAUCUGAGAGUAACUGUUCAGGUAUUGACGGUAUUUAACCAGAAAGCCACGGCUAACUACGUGCCAGCAGCCGCGGUAAUACGUAGGUGGCAAGCGUUGUCCGGAUUUAUUGGGCGUAAAGCGAGCGCAGGCGGUUUUUUAAGUCUGAUGUGAAAGCCUUCGGCUCAACCGAAGAAGUGCAUCGGAAACUGGGAAACUUGAGUGCAGAAGAGGACAGUGGAACUCCAUGUGUAGCGGUGAAAUGCGUAGAUAUAUGGAAGAACACCAGUGGCGAAGGCGGCUGUCUGGUCUGUAACUGACGCUGAGGCUCGAAAGUAUGGGUAGCAAACAGGAUUAGAUACCCUGGUAGUCCAUACCGUAAACGAUGAAUGCUAAGUGUUGGAGGGUUUCCGCCCUUCAGUGCUGCAGCUAACGCAUUAAGCAUUCCGCCUGGGGAGUACGGCCGCAAGGCUGAAACUCAAAGGAAUUGACGGGGGCCCGCACAAGCGGUGGAGCAUGUGGUUUAAUUCGAAGCUACGCGAAGAACCUUACCAGGUCUUGACAUACUAUGCAAAUCUAAGAGAUUAGACGUUCCCUUCGGGGACAUGGAUACAGGUGGUGCAUGGUUGUCGUCAGCUCGUGUCGUGAGAUGUUGGGUUAAGUCCCGCAACGAGCGCAACCCUUAUUAUCAGUUGCCAGCAUUAAGUUGGGCACUCUGGUGAGACUGCCGGUGACAAACCGGAGGAAGGUGGGGAUGACGUCAAAUCAUCAUGCCCCUUAUGACCUGGGCUACACACGUGCUACAAUGGAUGGUACAACGAGUUGCGAACUCGCGAGAGUAAGCUAAUCUCUUAAAGCCAUUCUCAGUUCGGAUUGUAGGCUGCAACUCGCCUACAUGAAGUCGGAAUCGCUAGUAAUCGCGGAUCAGCAGCCG
rnacentral:rRNA from 1 species